GUCUCGUCACGUGACUCGCGAGAUUUUUCGAUAAUAUUAACUUCCAGGUACCUCACACAUGGAGAUGUGUAUUGGGUUAUGCAUGUUUAUGGUUUACACAAAGCGUAUAAGGAAAGUUUAAGCAGUUGUACAAAGCCGAAGGGUUCUCCGACUUACGAUGGAUAAAUUGAGGGUCGUAAAAGCUUGGGUGCGAGCAAGUAGGAGGAGAAUUUCGAUCGAAGUACAGAUUUUUCUUGAAUUCGAGGAUAAUGAUGUUAUUACCAGCUGAUUAAGGAGGAGUAGUGUAAGUGUCAGAUGGGUACGAACGUCAUCUUGUGACAGCAUCACCUUUGUUUGGCUAAAAUACAAGAGAACUGCAGCAUCUAAGACUACAUGUACAUCGACUUUGAAUAAUUUACCCGGUAUAUCCUCAAAAAGGCAACUUAA